rnacentral:rRNA from 1 species
CCUCAAAGCCUGGAAUAACCUGCCGAAAGGCUGGCUAAUACCAGAUAAGCCUACGGACUCUUCGGAGUUUGAAGGAAAAGGUGGCCUCUGUAUACAAGCUAUCACUUUGAGAUGAGCCCGCGGCCCAUCAGCUAGUUGGCGGGGUAAUGGCCCACCAAGGCAACGACGGGUAGCUGGUCUGAGAGGACGAUCAGCCACACUGGGACUGAGACACGGCCCAG